CGUACACUCCUACGGGAGGCAGCAGUGGGGAAUAUUGCACAAUGGGCGCAAGCCUGAUGCAGCCAUGCCGCGUGUAUGAAGAAGGCCUUCGGGUUGUAAAGUACUUUCAGCGGGGAGGAAGGCAAUACGGUUAAUAACCGUGUUGAUUGACGUUACCCGCAGAAGAAGCACCGGCUAACUCCGUGCCAGCAGCCGCGGUAAUACGGAGGGUGCAAGCGUUAAUCGGAAUUACUGGGCGUAAAGCGCACGCAGGCGGUCUGUCAAGUCGGAUGUGAAAUCCCCGGGCUCAACCUGGGAACUGCAUUCGAAACUGGCAGGCUUGAGUCUUGUAGAGGGGGGUAGAAUUCCAGGUGUAGCGGUGAAAUGCGUAGAGAUCUGGAGGAAUACCGGUGGCGAAGGCGGCCCCCUGGACAAAGACUGACGCUCAGGUGCGAAAGCGUGGGGAGCAAACAGGAUUAGAAACCCGUGUAGUCCCAUGAU
rnacentral:rRNA from 1 species